rnacentral:rRNA from 1 species
GAUGAACGCUGGCGGCGUGCUUAACACAUGCAAGUCGAACGGAAAGGCCCUGCUCUUGUUGGUCGCUCGAGAGGCGAACGGGUGUGUAAAACGUGAGUAUCCUGCCCUUGUCUGUGGGAUAACUUCUGGAAACUGGGGCUAAUACCGGAUAGGAGCUCCUGCUGCAUGGGGGGGGAUGGUAAGAUUCGGCGGUUGGGGAUGGUCUCGCGGCUUAUCAGCUUGUUGGUGGGGUAGUGGCUUACCAAGGCUUUGACGGGUAGCCGGCCUGAGAGGGUGACCGGCCACAUUAGGACUGAGAUACGGCCCAGACUCCAACGGGACGCAACGGUGGAGAAUAUUACACAGUGGGCGGGAGCCUGAUGCGACAACGCCGCGUGCGGGAUGACGGGCUUCGAGUUGUAAACCACUUUCGCCUGUGACGUGGCGUUAGUGACGGUAAUUGAUAAAGAAGCACCGGCUAACUACGUG